GAGGAGGGGGUUCUCCCCAACUCGGAGCGCGCGGCUGGGGAAGAAGCUGGCGGGAAGCCGGGCCGCGCGCCGCGCGCCGAGGAAUCGAUGAUUCGGCCUGUGGGCCGGGUCACUGCGGCGGGGCCCGGGGAGCGCCGAUAGCAUGGAUAGGCUCAGAGGGGCGCAGGGUUUUGGCGGCUUCCCAGUUCCCCUCGCCGACCGCCAUGUCACAUCUUACGGAAGAGGCGGGGGCUGCCGCGGAGAGGAUAUUUUUUUGUUUUGUUUUGUUUUCACAAGAAUCACCUGGAUGCUUCUAAAGAGGAUGUCUACCAGACCCCAUGCCGCACUAGUUAGCUCAGAAGUGGGAACCCUUCGCUAGCUCCAUGUUUUGUUCACGUGACUCUCACCCUGGUGUGGCCUGGACUCCAGUCCCUGGCUCAAGGAAAGUCCAGACUGACAUAGAAAAUCCCUGCUCACCAGCCUUGACCUCGGGAGAAAGCCCCUGACCUGUGAGUGGACAGAAGGCCUGGUGGUCAGCCCAUGGGAGCCCUGGAGCGUGCACUGCUGGGGCAGCUCAGAAAAAACUGGGAAGCCAAGACUUGACUGUCAGUCCUGGAGAAUUAGAACAUGCCUGCUAAAUUGCGGUCCACUCUGAGGAAGGGGGGUGCCCACAAGGAAACCUAGUGGGUGGGGUUCUGGCUGGGACUCCUCUGGAGUUCCCAGGGCAGAUGCCCGGCUCCAGCGUAUAGACCGUGAUGCAGCUGGGCUUCUGUGUCUGAUUCUUAAGUGCCUCAGGUAAACAGACUCUCCUUUGCUUUGCCAGGAGGAAUGACAUUACUAUCAGCAUUGUAAAAGUCUGUGGCCUUUGAGAGAGUAAUUUUACUUCUAAGACUCUCCUCUACAGAGAAGUGUGCACACUGUUCCAAGUGGAGUCUAUAAAGAUAGCAACGAGCAAAGACUUAAAACAGAAUGGCUCCGUGUUUGAAGUGUUGUGUAUCUAGACAAUGAACAGCCCACCUUUAAACAAGCCCCACAUGGACUGAAGCGGAGGCAGCGCCAAACGUAUUAGGUGACAGUGUGCCACGUGGCUCUGUGUGAUGGUAAGAUUAUAUGUGUGCAUGUCAUCUCGAAAGGAGAAUCCGGCUUAUCUCUCGGGAGAGAGUCUGCAUCUUUUCUCAUUCGUACCGAGUAUGGAGUGUGUAUCUAUCUCUCUGUCAGAAAUGUACAGGGAAGGGUCCACCAUUGACCUGAUGCUCACAAAGGUUAGGAACCAGUGCCAACCACAAUGCCCACCUCUACCUUCAGGAGACAGUAAACGCCUUAGAAUACAAAACCCAUAAACAACCAAGACUGUAGUGUCUGCUGGGGCUGGGCCUGAGCUGCACACGGAGGCUAGGUACCGAACAGCUGCCAUGGUGAACUGGCACAGCUAGGCACUGGGCCAGGCUCACAUGCCCUCUGCCCUAACUUUAAAGACAGCAGUCUUGGCCCAGCUUCCCUCGCCCCCUGUGUAUGGGCAGAGAGCUAUGCUUGCUGGGUUUCCAGCUCUUGUAUUUGGACUCCUCUUCUCUUUUCUCUUUCUGAGAGAGGGUCUCACUAUGUAUUCGUGGCUGCUCUGGAACUUCCUGGACCAGGCUGGCCUUGAUGUAGAUCUCUGCCUUCUAAAAAAUAAAAAUAUUUUUUUAUGUG
ensembl:processed_transcript RIKEN cDNA E130307A14 gene